rnacentral:rRNA from 1 species
UACGUAGGGCGCAAGCGUUGUCCGGAAUUAUUGGGCGUAAAGAGCUCGUAGGUGGUUUGUUACGUCUGCUGUGAAAACCUGGGGCUCAACCCCGGGCCUGCAGCCGAUACGGGCAGGCUAGAAUUCGGUAGGGGAGACUGGAAUUCCUGGUGUAGCGGUGAAAUGCGCAGAUAUCAGGAGGAACACCUGUGGCGAAAGCGGCUCACUGGACCAUAACUGACGCUGAUGCACGAAAGCUAGGGGAGCAAACAGG